rfam:Triticum aestivum genome assembly, contig: Triticum_aestivum_CS42_TGACv1_scaffold_643075_T_7DS-0.164981_4DS-0.162612
UAACUACUCCCUCCGUCCGGAAAUACUUGUCGCACAAAUGGAUAAAAAUGGAUGCAUCUAAAACUAAAAAUAUGACUAGAUACAUCCAUUCCUCCGACAAGUAUUUUCGGACGGAGGGAGUAGUAA